rnacentral:tRNA from 1 species
UAGACCUAAGAGACUCAUUCUCUGCUCUAAAUUUGCACUCUAGAAAUUUUUAGGCCU